rnacentral:rRNA from 1 species
GAUGAACGCUGGCGGCGUGCCUAAUACAUGCAAGUCGAACGAGGUGCUUUUGUAGCAAUACGAAAGUAUCCUAGUGGCGAACGGGUGAGUAACGCGUUGGUGACCUACCCCAAAGUGUGGGAUAACAGUUCGAAAGAACUGCUAAUACCGCAUGUGGUUAUCGGGUUUAGAAACUGAUAACUAAAGGAGCAAUUCGCUUUGGGAGGGACCUGCGUCCCAUCAGCUAGUUGGUGAGGUAACGGCUCACCAAGGCUACGACGGGUAGGGGACCUGAGAGGGUGGCCCCCCACAAUGGAACUGAAACACGGUCCAUACACCUACGGGUGGCAGCAGUAGGGAAUAUUGCACAAUGGGCGAAAGCCUGAUGCAGCAACGCCGCGUGUGCGAUGAAGGCCUUGGGUCGUAAAGCACUUUCUGAGAGAUGAGAAAGGACAGUACCUCAGGAAUAAGUCUCGGCUAACUACGUG